UCCCUGAUGGCCCAGCUGGUUAAGGCGUCCGACUGUUAAUCGGGAGAUCCACAGUUCGAUCCUGUGUCGGGGAG
rnacentral:tRNA from 3 species